CAUCAAUUUUUUGGGAAAAACCGAUGUUAACGUACGUUAACAUCAAUUUUUUGUAAAAAAUCGAUGUUAAGGUUUUGGAUAUUAAUAUCGAUUUUCGUGGAUUUAAUCCUGAAAUUGGCCUCCAAAUUCUUGUUGAUAAAACACUCAUAACCAUUAGUCACGAGAAGAUUUAUAUGCAUGACUUGUUGAGAGAUUUAGGCAAGUGUAUUGUUAGAGAAAAAUCACUUAAAGAGACAAGAAAGUGGAGUAGAUUAUGGGAUUGUGAAGAUCUCUACAAAGUUAUGUCGGACAAUAUGAAAGCAAAAAAUCUGGAAGCCAUAGUCGUUGAUGAUAAAUCAUGGAUGUUUUUUGAAACAACAAUGAGAGUUGAUGCUUUAUCAAAAAUGAGAAACCUUAAGUUGCUUAUGUUUCCUAGGUAUGAGGAGGAGCUUUCCACAUAUGAGGAGAAGGAGGAGAAAUUUUCAGGAAACCUCAAUUAUCUUUUCAAUGAAUUAGGAUAUCUUAUUUGACAAUACAAUCCCUUUAACUCUCUACCUCAAUGUUUUCAGCCACACAAUCUUAUUGAGUUGGAUCUUUCUAUGAGUAACAUCCAACAUUUAUGGGACAGCACACAGCCUAUAUCCAAUUUGAGACGUUUGAAUGUCUCUAACUACGAUAAUCUAAUCGAGGUGCAAGAUUUUGGUGAGGCCCUAAAUCUCGAGAGACUAGAUCUCAGUGGAUGUGGAUGACUCAGUCGGUUCCAUCCAUCCAUUGGUUUUCUUAGAAAUCUUACCUAUUUGAAUUUAAGUGGCUGCAAAAGUCUUGUGGAGUUACCACAUUUUGAAAAG